GUGAUAGUAGUUUAAUGGCAAAACACCUGAAUGUGGAUCAGGAGAUCAGGGUUCGAUUCCCGCUUAUCACC
rnacentral:tRNA from 1 species